rnacentral:rRNA from 1 species
GAUGAACGCUGGCGGCGUGCCUAAUACAUGCAAGUCGAGCGAACGGACGAGAAGCUUGCUUCUCUGAUGUUAGCGGCGGACGGGUGAGUAACACGUGGAUAACCUACCUAUAAGACUGGGAUACUUCGGGAAACCGGAGCUAAUACCGGAUAAUAUUUUGAACCGCAUGGUUCAAAAGUGAAAGACGGUCUUGCUGUCACUUAUAGAUGGAUCCGCGCUGCAUUAGCUAGUUGGUAAGGUAACGGCUUACCAAGGCAACGAUGCAUAGCCGACCUGAGAGGGUGAUAGGCCCCACUGGAACUGGGACACGGUCCAGACUCCUGCGGGAGGGAGCAGUAGGGAAUGUUCCGCAGUAGGCGGAAGCCUGACGGAGCAACGCCGCGUGAGUGGUAAAGGUCUUCGGAUCGGAAAACUCUGUUAUUAGGGAAGAACAUAUGUGUAAGUAACUGUGCACAUCUUGACGGUAACUAAUCAGAAAGCCACGGCUAACUACGUG